GACGAACGCUGGCGGCGUGCUUAACACAUGCAAGUCGAACGAAGUGGCGAACGGGUGAGUAACGCGUAAUCAACCUGCCCUUCAGAGGGGGACAACAGUUGGAAACGACUGCUAAUACCGCAUACUGAAGGAGGGGAUUGGGUCUGAUGAGCGAGGUGGAGGGGUAACGGCCCCCCAAGGCGAUGAUAAGUAGCCUGUCUGGUGAGAGGAACGGCCACAUUGGGACUGAGACACGGCCCAGACUCCUACGGGAGGGAGCAGUGGGGAAUCUUCCGCAAUGGACGAAAGUCUGACGGAGCAACGCCGCGUGAGUGAUGACGGCCUGCGGGUUGUAAAGCUCUGUUAAUCGGGACGCGGUACCGGAAUAGAAAGCCACGGCUAACUACGUGCCAGCAGCCGCGGUAAUUC
rnacentral:rRNA from 1 species